rnacentral:rRNA from 1 species
GCAAGUCGAACGAGAAAGCAGACUUCGGUCUGCAAGUACAGUGGCAGACGGGUGAGUAACACGUGGGUAAUCUGCCCGGAGGUGGGGGAUAACCUUCCGAAAGGAAGGCUAAUACCGCAUAAUAUCUGAUUUGUUUCGGCUUAUCAGAUCAAAGUUGGCCUCUUCUUGAAAGCUAACACCAUCGGAUGAGCUCGCGGCCCAUUAGCUUGUUGGUGAGGUAACGGCUCACCAAGGCUACGAUGGGUAGCCGGCCUGAGAGGGCGAUC